rnacentral:tRNA from 2 species
AAAAUCCGUCGACUUUCAAAAUCGUGAGG